UACGUAGGUGGCAAGCGUUGUCCGGAAUUAUUGGGCGUAAAGCGUCCGUAGGUGGCCAUGCAAGUCUGCUGUCAAAGCAUGGAGCUUAACUCCAUAGAGGCAGUGGAAACUGAAUAGCUAGAGUUCGGUAGGGGUAGCGGGAAUUCCCAGUGUAGCGGUGAAAUGCGUAGAGAUUGGGAAGAACAUCGGUGGCGAAAGCGCGCUACUGGGCCGAAACUGACACUGAGGGACGAAAGCUAGGGGAGCGAAAGGG
rnacentral:rRNA from 1 species